AUCUGGUCCAAUGAACAUCUGAGACAGAUAGCUGAACCACAUUUGUGGUGAUGAAAGGUUUGGUCAGAAAAGGAGGCUGGGCUGUCGUGUCAUGAGAGAGCCACAAUUCUUCAAACAUAUUUAACUGCUGGAGAGAAUGGCUCAGAAUCCCAGGUAUCAGCUUCAGCACACAUCUCUUCUUGGCCCUUGACAGAAGAAGCAGAGUAACUUUUCUUAGGUGGCAUAAUUCUUCAAAAUGUGUUCAUUUUGAAGAACAGGGGUGAUGGAUGGUAAUACACAGGCAGGGAUCAACAGUCCCAGAACUGAAGGAAGAGUUGACAAAUGUAUCAAAGAUGCCUAAUCAAAAUGUGUCCACAUUCUGCUAA
rnacentral:lncRNA from 1 species